GUCUCCUGUAGCUCAGUGGUAGAGCAUCCGACCGGUGUGCGGAAGGUCAUAGGCUCGACUCCUGUUGGUUUUCCGAGCAGCU
rnacentral:tRNA from 1 species